AGUUAAUAAGCUAAAAAGCAAUAUGUUUUGAAAACAUGAGAUAGAAAUUCAUCUUUCUAUUAACUU
rnacentral:tRNA from 1 species